GACGAACGCUGGCGGCGUGCUUAACACAUGCAAGUCGAACGAUGAUGCUGGAGCUUGCUCCAGUUGAUUAGUGGCGAACGGGUGAGUAACACGUGAGCAAUCUGCCCUUGACUCUGGGAUAACUGCGGGAAACUGUAGCUAAUACCGGAUACUUUCACCGGAAGGCAUCUUUUGGUGAUGAAAGAAUUUCGGUCAGGGAUGAGCUCGCGGCCUAUCAGCUUGUUGGUGAGGUAACGGCUCACCAAGGCGACGACGGGUAACCGGCCUGAGAGGGUGACCGGUCACACUGGGACUGAGACACGGCCCAGACUCCUACGGGAGGCAGCAGUGGGGAAUAUUGCACAAUGGGCGCAGGCCUGAUGCAGCGACGCCGCGUGAGGGAUGAAGGUCUUCGGAUUGUAAACCUCUUUCAGUAGGGACGAAGCGAAAGUGACGGUACCUAAAGAAGAAGCACCGGCUAACUACGUGCCAGCAGCCGCGGUAA
rnacentral:rRNA from 1 species